GACAGAGGAUGCAAGCGUUAUCCGGAAUGAUUGGGCGUAAAGCGAGUGUAGGUGGUUGUCCAAGUUGGAUGUGAAAGCCUUGAGCUCAACUCAAGAAAUGCAUUCAGGACUGGGCGGCUAGAGGACCGGAGAGGAUAGUGGAAUUCCCAGUGUAGCGGUGAAAUGCGUAGAUAUUGGGAGGAACACCAGUGGCGAAGGCGGCUCACUGGACCGGUUCUGACGCUGAGGCGCGAAAGCGUGGGGAGCAAACGGG
rnacentral:rRNA from 1 species